UACGGAGGGGGCUAGCGUUGUUCGGAAUUACUGGGCGUAAAGCGUACGUAGGCGGCUUUGUAAGUUAGAGGUGAAAGCCCGGGGCUCAACCCCGGAAUUGCCUUUAAGACUGCAUCGCUUGAACGUCGGAGAGGUGAGUGGAAUUCCGAGUGUAGAGGUGAAAUUCGUAGAUAUUCGGAAGAACACCAGUGGCGAAGGCGGCUCACUGGACGACUGUUGACGCUGAGGUACGAAAGCUAGGGGAGCAAACAGG
rnacentral:rRNA from 1 species